rnacentral:rRNA from 1 species
GCUUGUCUCAAAGAUUAAGCCAUGCAUGUCUAAGUAUAAGCACUUAUACCGUGAAACUGCGAAUGGCUCAUUAUAUCAGUUAUAGUUUAUUUGAUAGUUCCUACUACUUGGAUAACCGUAGUAAUUCUAGAGCUAAUACAUGCUAAGACCGUAAGGUUGUAUUUAUUAGAUAUACCGAGUAGGUGAAUCAUAAUAACUUCGCAAAUCGCAGUAAUACUGCGAUAAAUCAUUCAAGUUUCUGCCCUAUCAUGCUCUCGAUGGUAGUGUAUUGGACUACCAUGGCUCUCACGGGUAACGGGGAAUUAGGGUUCGAUUCCGGAGAAGGAGCCUGAGAAACGGCUACUACAUCUAAGGAAGGCAGCAGG